AUGAACCUAGGACGCACCACGGUCCAGAUUCACAGGAUGCAGCAGCCUAUAAGAACACCCGGCGCCCCCGCCGUCGCUCGGUUAGUUGCGAGCGCCCACCGAAAGCACUGCGAGGAAGCAAGAAGUAGCGGCGGGCCUCCUCGCCGCAUUCCACCAAAUUUCCCUGUAGCCUGCGAGUUCUUGCCUUUCCUCACCAAUUUGGUCGCUUCCCAGCUCCUGGAAGAGGCCCAAGCGAAGCCUGAAGUCCUCAGGUUCUUGCUUUUCCUGACCAAUUCGAUCGCCUGCCAUUUUCCACAAGAAGCCUCGAAGCCGUCAGAAAGAAAUAGAGAGGGGGGUCAUCCCAGAACCAAGUUUCAGUUCAUGUAUGUUCGUGAUGCAAUGAUCGUGUGUCUGUUCUUGAAAUGGCCCUCAACAGAAGAUAUGCAGCAUGCGUGGAAAGAAUAUGCCACUUCCAUGAAUUUCCCCAAAUUUAUUAUGAUUGUUGUUAUUGCUAAAAUGGGAAAGAAGUGCAGCACCUGCGGCAAGACCUACAAAAAUAAACGUGCUUUUAAUGGCCACAAGAUGAAAUGCAAGUCCCCCAAGAAUCCUGAGCAAAAUGCUGCAGGACAGGAAGAGGCUUCAAGCAGUGUCGGCGAUAGGAAAGAUCUGCUUAAUUUUCAUAUAGAAAGGCGGCCACGGAGCAGCCGGGGUGCAGCGAAGGAGAUGGAUGGUGGAAAUGAAGUCUUUCCGUCAGAAGCGGAGAUAGAUGCUGCAGAGGGGCUUAGUCUUCUCCAGUACCGAUGUGGCAAGGAUACAUCUUCUGAUAAUGAACCGGGAAUUGAUUAUUCAGGGGUUGAAUCAGCUGCUGAUAAUUCUGAUGCAGUGCAAGAGGACAACCCGUAUCUUCCGUUGAUUUUGGGUAAACUCAAUAAGAUAAUAUCUGAUAGAAACUCAGCUUCUGUGGAUCUCUGUGGAGGCGCUGAAAAAUGUGGAAAUGAAGCCCUUUCUUUAGAAGAGACGGGAUUGAUUCACAAUGAUGAUGUGAUGAGGAUCUAUGUGGACAGUCAAAGGCUGGUUGAUUGUCCUGAAAAUUCUGUUGUGGUUGAGCCAAAACGGCCCAAGCUUGAUCUCAAGGUUUCUGACAGCAGUGACAACCCAGCUUCUGAUUGUGCCCAAGGUGGCAACAAUGAUGCGUCGAGGUCUGGCACGCCGAAGCUGAAACAGACAUCUCUGACGGAGCCAAUGGCCACAGAUGCGGAUCGGGAACAAGAACAGAAGUCAGAUGUCUUAGAGGCUCCCCUGCCUCUCGCUACAACCUCUGUUGACCAAUCAGGAACUGACAGUCCAGGUGACGAAUCAGCUGCUGAUACUUCAGAUGAGGUGCGGGAUUCCAUGGUGGUGCUGCAGGUCGCACAAGUGUGGAGUCUCGGCUUUCUGAACAUCAACUCAGGGACGAUGAACUGGAUUUGGAAGCUCUUUUCAAGAGGGCCAGGGUUUGUGGAAGAAGUUGAUCUUGGCAAAGUAUGCGGGCACCAAGGACAUCUUUUCUUGCUCGAGGCAGGGAGGAUCCCACUGCCUUCACCAAACCCCAGCUUUAGGAUAGCGAAGGUUCUGAUUGAACUGGUGCUGGCAAGGCACCGGGAUUAUGUUCAGCUUUACCAGUUAAACUGA
rnacentral:rRNA from 1 species